rnacentral:rRNA from 1 species
GAUGAACGCUGGCGGCGUGCCUAAUACAUGCAAGUCGAGCGAACAGAUGAGGAGCUUGCUCCUCUGACGUUAGCGGCGGACGGGUGAGUAACACGUGGAUAACCUACCUAUAAGACUGGGAUAACUUCGGGAAACCGGAGCUAAUACCGGAUAAUAUAUUGAACCGCAUGGUUCAAUAGUGAAAGACGGUUUUGCUGUCACUUAUAGAUGGAUCCGCGCCGCAUUAGCUAGUUGGUAAGGUAACGGCUUACCAAGGCGACGAUGCGUAGCCGACCUGAGAGGGUGAUCGGCCACACUGGAACUGAGACACGGUCCAGACUCCUACGGGAGGCAGCAGUAGGGAAUCUUCCGCAAUGGGCGAAAGCCUGACGGAGCCACGCCGCGUGAGUGAUGAAGGUCUUCGGAUCGUAAAACUCUGUUAUUAGGAAAGAACAAAUGUGUAAGUAACUAUGCACGUCUUGACGGUACCUAAUCAGAAAGCCACGGCUAACUACGUG